AUCAUUUCACAGCUGUGGCCAGUCCACAAACGACUUGCACCAUCCUCAGCCUUGCCUUCGUUUAGUUGAGUAGGUUCACCGAUUUUAAAUUUUUGUUUUGUUUUACACUAUCGAUGCAUCAGCACAGCUCAUCUUACCUUACAAUGAAAUGUCUUGUUUAUCUACACACUCAUAAUUUUACAAUAAUGUUGACCCCGCUGAGCUCUUUCACCCCCUUGCAGUAAUGAUUUGGUGUUGUGUGUUUUGGAAAGCCUUAAAGUGUGCAAAGGCAUGACCAAAGACCACCGGAUAAAAAUCUGCUUGCCUUAGAGUGAUAGCAUGACCUGAAAAAAACUCAAACUUUUUUUUGAGGUUAGUCGCAGUUUUAAAUUGGGUCACUGGUUUGACCAUACACAUUUAGGAAAUGCUUCGAAUAGGCUGUUGAAUGACAAAUUUAAGCAGGUAGGGUUUUGGUCAAAAUGCUGGUGUUGUGACAACAGUUCUUGCAUUAACCACGCGCAAUAUGCUUUCCCCGGAUGGUGCAAUGGUUGUGUUGUGCUUUAAGAGCGUGUGUGUGUGUGUGUGUGUGUGUUCAGACUCAACGAGAACUUUCUAGACUCAUAGGAUUAUUUUCACCUUUUUUUUUGAAGAGUCAACUGAUGCAUGAAGAUCCCCAAGUAGAAAACACCAAUCAUUUAUAUGACUACCUGAGACGGGACAACGAUAUAAAAAAAAAUAAGGCCUAUUUUUGUACUAUAUAUGGUGCAUUGUCAUUUACAUGUAAUUUAAAGAUUAUUUUGCUCUUUUUAUUUAAUUGAUGUCAAUAUGCGAAUUAAAGAUUAUACAAAAAAAAUAAAGAUCUAUGCAAACUUCAUAA